rfam:Glycine max cultivar Williams 82 chromosome 19, whole genome shotgun sequence.
UUCUUAUUGGAUGAUAACUGUUACAUGUCAUGUUUUGAUGGGAUGUUAAUUCAAUGAAAGAUGAAAUGAAUUUUUGUUUUCAUUGACCAAUCAGAAGAUGAUAGACAACAUCACUUAUUA